UGGGCUAGUGAUGCCAACCAUCAGUGAAUGAUUUGCAAAUGAUGAAUGAGUCUCGAACUCUGAGGUCUAA